GGAUUUUAGAGAAGGCCUGGUUGACGGAUGCCCCUAAUCAGCUGAGGAGGAUGGUGAAAUUUGGCUCACGUCUAUGUGAGGUAACCAAAUGCCGACUAAUUUAUCUUUUACAGGAGAAUGUGAAUCUUUUCGCUUGGACUAUCGCCAACAUGCCCGACAUCAAUGCUGAAGCGAUAUCCCAUCAUCUAAAGGCGGACUCAACUUGUUAAUCAAAAAAGCAG
rnacentral:lncRNA from 1 species